rnacentral:rRNA from 1 species
UACGUAGGGGGCAAGCGUUGUCCGGAUUUAUUGGGCGUAAAGAGCGUGUAGGCGGCCAUGUAGGUCCGUUGUGAAAACUCGAGGCUCAACCUCGAGACGCCGAUGGAAACCAUGUGGCUAGAGUCCGGAAGAGGAGAGUGGAAUUCCUGGUGUAGCGGUGAAAUGCGCAGAUAUCGGGAGGAACACCAGUAGCGAAGGCGACACUCUGGGCCGGUACU